rnacentral:rRNA from 1 species
GCAAGUCGAGCGCUACCUUCGGGUGGAGCGGCGGACGGGUUAGUAACGCGUGGGAACAUGCCCUUUACUAAGGAAUAGCCUCUGGAAACGGAGAGUAAUACCUUAGACGCCCUUCGGGGGAAAGAUUUAUCGGUAAAGGAUGGGCCCGCGUAAGAUUAGAUAGUGGGUGGGGUAACGGCCUACCAAGGCGACGAUCUGUAGCUGGUUUGAGAGGAUGAGC